GACGAACGCUGGCGGCGUGCUUAACACAUGCAAGUCGAACGAUGAGGCCGGAGCUUGCUCUGGUGAAUUAGUGGCGAACGGGUGAGUAACACGUGAGUAACCUGCCCUUGACUCUGGGAUAACUGCGGGAAACUGUAGCUAAUACCGGAUACGACCCUCGGAGGCAUCUCCUGGGGGUGGAAAGAAUUUCGGUCAAGGAUGGACUCGCGGCCUAUCAGCUAGUUGGUGAGGUAAAGGCUCACCAAGGCGACGACGGGUAGCCGGCCUGAGAGGGUGACCGGCCACACUGGGACUGAGACACGGCCCAGACUCCUACGGGAGGCAGCAGUGGGGAAUAUUGCACAAUGGGCGCAAGCCUGAUGCAGCAACGCCGCGUGAGGGAUGACGGCCUUCGGGCUGUAAACCUCUUUUAGCAGGGAAGAAGCGAAAGUGACGGUACCUGCAGAAAAAGCACCGGCUAACUACGUGCCAGCCGCCGCAGUAA
rnacentral:rRNA from 1 species